AUUGAACGCUGGCGGCAGGCUUAACACAUGCAAGUCGAGCGGGGUGAUGGUGCUUGCACUAUCACUUAGCGGCGGACGGGUGAGUAAUGCUUAGGAAUCUGCCUAUUAGUGGGGGACAACAUCUCGAAAGGGAUGCUAAUACCGCAUACGUCCUACGGGAGAAAGCAGGGGAUCACUUGUGACCUUGCGCUAAUAGAUGAGCCUAAGUCGGAUUAGCUAGUUGGUGGGGUAAAGGCCUACCAAGGCGACGAUCUGUAGCGGGUCUGAGAGGAUGACCCGCCACACGGGGAGAGGGAAACGGCCCAGCCGCCUACGGGGGCGAGCAGGGGGAAAUUUGGGAAAAGGGGGGCAACCCUUAUCCCGCCAUGCGGGGUGGGUGAAAAGGGCCUUAGGGUUGAAAAGCAUUUUAAGCGAGGAGGGGGCUUUUUGGGUAAAUCCCAAAGAUGGGUGGACUUAACCCGAAAAAAAAGCCCCGCCAAACUUUGUGCCACCCGCCGCAGUAA
rnacentral:rRNA from 1 species